rnacentral:misc_RNA from 1 species
AAAAGUCGUAACAAGGUAACCGUAGGUGAACCUGCGGUUGGAUCAUUAAAAAAUCUAAACCAUUUGUUAGAGAGUCUAACUCUCUAUCAAAACACUUUGUGAACUUUAAUUGUUGAAUUGAUUAGACUUCAUUGUCUAAUCAGUUUGUAUAUAAACAUUUUAUUCAUUUUUAGUUGGUCAAUUUUAAUAUUUAAUUAAAAACAACUUUUGACAACGGAUCUCUUGGCUCUC